rnacentral:sRNA from 2 species
GGACAGCCAUCGCCGAGUCCCCGUACGGCGCGAGCCAGGGGAGCCGGGGACCCACACGUCCCUUGGGGUGAAUCGGAUUCCUCCCCGGAGGAGUCCGUAGGAGACCUUCCUGCUCCGAACCCGUCAGCUAACCCGGUAGGCGAGAGGGAAGGAAAGG